AUACGGAGGGUGCAAGCGUUACUCGGAAUCACUGGGCGUAAAGCGCAUGCAGGCGGUCUAAUAAGUUGGAAGUGAAAGCCUAUGGCUCAACCAUAGAACUGCUUCCAAAACUGUUAGACUAGAGUCUGGGAGGGGAAGAUGGAAUUAGUAGUGUAGGGGUAAAAUCCGUAGAGAUUACUAGGAAUACCAAAAGCGAAGGCGAUCUUCUGGAACAGUACUGACGCUGAGAUGCGAAAGCGUGGGGAGCAAACAGGAUUAGAAACCCUUGUAGUCC
rnacentral:rRNA from 1 species